AAAUCUUAUUUCGUUUGACCGUUGGCUUUAUUGACCGUGAGGGUUCAAGUCCCUCUACCCCCAA
rnacentral:tRNA from 1 species